UCUAAGGGUCACAGUACACAAUUUCCGCUUGUGGUGAAGCUCUCUUGAAUCGAAGCAACUCUUUUGACAAAGUCAAUAAUUUGUUAAUCCAUUGCAUGACUGAUUUUCAUUGUCUCAAGCACUGGAGAAUUGGCAAGGAUAAUUUUAAUGAGUAUCAAUUCAAUUUCCAUGCCAAAGAUUUUAGAAAUAUCUACGACUCGGAGUUUGUUGAAUGUGCACUCCAACUGAUCCUUUGCUUCUUGUAGAUCCAUGACAGGAAAAAUCGCAGAUUCCCUAUUUUUCCAGAACUAGAGGAUUGAACAAGUUAAAGAGAGGAAAGAACCAUAG